GCUGCAUUUAAAUUAUACGAAGUUACAACUUGCAUAUAUUUAAAAUAGUUUGAUAUGUCAUAAAUUCUUAUGCAUAAAACAAAAAAGCAUUUAAAUUGUAAAUAUAAUACAAUUUAUUAUUGUUUUAACGCAAGUAGAGCGAUAUGCAGCUGCCAGUGUCGAGAAAGCAUUUCAAUGCAUCAGGAAACUGCAAUCUGUCUUUCUACUUUGGGGAAAAACUGUGCUUAGCAGAUUUGGGAUCGAUCCAGACCCCUAAGGGCCAGUUCUCACUGAUUUCUUGUGUUAGAUCUACGCUAGCUUUCAGAUUGGUAAGACCAUUCUUGAUAGUGGAAACAGAAUAAUGGAAUUUCAAUCACUUAAUGAGGUCUCGUCCGACCAGCUGCACUGCGCUUUGGCUAUCUGAUUAUCGUCGUCAUAAUUUACCUUUUGUGACAAAAAAUUCAUAUUUUUACGCUUUAUAUAUAUAUAUCAGCGCCAUCUGCCAAUCAGUUUUAAUACUAAAUCGAAUAAUUAAAGAAUUUUUCUUGGGCGAAUUCUUACUUGUUAGUAAUAGGAAGAUGGAUAGGCUACAUAGCAGCAGAAGAUUUUCCUUUCUGAUACAAAUGUAUUUAAACUGAAGGAUAUAUUGAAUUAACUUUAAGAUAACUGAUAUUCGGUGACAAAUUUAGUGUAUUUUUGUUUAAAUUAUUAUACAGCAUUAUCUAUUCUUUUUGUUUAUUCUUAAGUUAAAAGACGAUAAAAAGAAAUUCUGUUUUGUAAUUCAGUUUAAAUCUUAUUUAUUGCAUCAAGAAUUUGAGUGAAAUUUUAAGAUGUUUAUUAAUUUAUAGUGAAUUAAGUAUAAAUUA
rnacentral:lncRNA from 1 species